rnacentral:misc_RNA from 1 species
GAUGAAGAACGUAGCGAAAUGCGAUACUUGGUGUGAAUUGCAGAAUCCCGUGAACCAUCGAGUCUUUGAACGCAAGUUGUGCCCGAAGCCAUCAGGUUGAGGGCACGUCUGCCUGGGCGUCACAUAUCGUUGCCCAAUGCCUAUUGCAGUGCAAUAGGAAUUUCUAGGGCGAAUGAUGGCUUCCCGUGAGCGUUGUUGCCUCGCGGUUGGUUGAAAAUCGAGUCCUUGGUAGGGUGUGCCAUGGUAGAUGGUGGUCGAGUUAGAACGAUACCGAUCAUGUGCAUGCUCCCCAAAAUAUGGCCUCUAUGACCCACACGCGUCUUUUGACGCUCAUGACGAGACCUCAGGUCAGGCGGGGCUACCCGCUGAAUUUAAGCAUAUCAAUAAGCGGAGGA